rnacentral:rRNA from 1 species
GAUGAACGCUGGCGGCGCGCCUAACACAUGCAAGUCGAACGGCACCCCUCUCCGGAGGGAAGCGAGUGGCGAACGGCUGAGUAACACGUGGAGAACCUGCCCCCUCCCCCGGGAUAGCCGCCCGAAAGGACGGGUAAUACCGGAUACCCCGGGGUGCCGCAUGGCACCCCGGCUAAAGCCCCGACGGGAGGGGAUGGCUCCGCGGCCCAUCAGGUAGACGGCGGGGUGACGGCCCACCGUGCCGACAACGGGUAGCCGGGUUGAGAGACCGACCGGCCAGAUUGGGACUGAGACACGGCCCAGACUCCUACGGGAGGCGGCAGUGGGGAAUCUUGCGCAAUGGGGGGAACCCUGACGCAGCGACGCCGCGUGCGGGACGGAGGCCUUCGGGUCGUAAACCGCUUUCAGCAGGGAAGAGUCAAGACUGUACCUGCAGAAGAAGCCCC